UGGAGAUAUGGUUGUUGUGCUUGCACAAAUAGACAAUUAUUUCAAUACUAUGUGAGCUGCAUCUUCAGUUCUAAUUAAUUACCUUUUCCAUUUUGACCUUGCUAUGUUGAAUCAAAAACCAACAUUCCAACUUCACUGUAGUGGUUAAUGCUGGGAAUACAAUGCACUCAUGUUAGCAACUGCCUUAUGUAAAAUAGAAGCAAAAGCUCCCUCUCCCUCUCUGUUUAGAAAAGCUGUCAAGUACUACUCUGCCCUGCUUAUUGCCCCACCUUUUCCCUUCUUCCUCCUCUCUCACCCACACAGAUGAGAUAUGGAAGAUGUCAGCCAGAUCACAGUCUGGCUUGCAGGCCACUUCAAACAGCUGCCUUAGAACUGUUACCACCUUUACUGCUGGUGUGCAGCGGGGAGAUUGCUUAGGAACAAAUGCCUAGGUGAAUACACAGAACUUGGCCUUGAGGCUCUUGCAGCUUUAGGUGCUUUUUCUAAUGGUGCAUUAAAACAAUCUAUGUGUACUGCUUAAAAUACUAUGUUAGCAAAUUUAUGAAGUAGAUACUUCGUGUGGUUUACAGCAUCAUUUUUCUUUCACUGACACGGAAUUGUUUGUUAGUGGAAGGUGGAGUUAUAGCUUUCUGAAGCCAAAUAUUCGUUUGUAUAAAAGGAAGACAACGGAACAGUGCUCAUACUGAUACUGCAAAGUUAUCUCAUGGAUGCAGUUGUUGGCUACUUCCACCUCCCACUUGCCCUCUCCCACAGACUGUCAACAGACUUCCAGUUAAACACUUGGGGACAGGAAGAAAUGCAGUGUGUGCAUGUGUUUUUUUUAAUUGUCUUGCAGAAGUGAAUUCCAGGGGCAAUGUCUAAAAAUGGCAGAGGCACACUUGGGAUCAGAUUCUCAGCUAGAGUAAACUGACACAGCUCCAUUGAUGUCAGUGGCAUCUGGGUUUACACCAGCUGACACCUGGAUGCUCAUCUGGAAAAAAGUGAAUUAGAAUGAUCAGUUAUUGGUUCUUAUAAUAUAAAUUUUUUGUGUUGUUGAUGUGUUCAUCAUUUUUAUUAAACCUUUCUAAAAUGACAAAUUUUCAUGUUGUAUUGACAUUUUACUUUCAAUAAAUCAGCAGUAAUACUAAAUCCUGGUAAGUAUUGACACUGCUGUGCUUCCACUGAAAGGAAUUAAAUCCCAUUGACUGUAGUUAUUAGAAAUUCAAUUUGUUCUUAGAUGCCUUUGAGUUGUAUGCUGAAAGUAAAGAAUCUGUGCAGCUAUCAACAGGACAAAAUGAAAAGUAUUUGUUUCUUCUGUGAUCUAAAAAUCUGCAAGAACAGAAGCAAAUAACAAUCACUGUAACCUAAGACUCUGUGUUCUACAGACAAUAACUGCAGUUGUUUCUGCAGUGUGCUGGAGUGUAGCAGCAGCUCCUAAUGCAGUAUAUCUAAGGCUGAUGUUUUACAAGAAAUCCAAACACACAAUCACCAUGUUUUCAUGUUGCCUUAGACCUAUGGAAACGUCUCUGUUUAACCUCUUUUGGAAAAAAAAGUUUGAGGGAGUAUUUCACCAUUUACUGGAGUACAGCCAUCUCUGGGGAAGAGGAGCAGCUGUGUAACAUCUUGAAGCACUAGUGCAUGCCAACCUGAGACAGGAGCAAAAAGUUGUGAUUGCCAUGUUUAAAUUCUACAUUCUACAAGCCUGCUUUUUUGUACAUUCCUGGUUCUUGCUCAUAGAAUAAGAGAGUGGAAAAACAGAAAACACUUUCAGGUGAAAUAUUGUCCACAAAACUGGUUUUUAAACGAAAUCAAACUUGUUUGACAUGCACAGCCAUCACAGAGUGAUCUGAAGUUCUCUGUCUUAUCAGUGUUCUGAUGGCCUAGAAACUGUGACAUCUCCAAACAUGCUGCUUUGUGUGUUUGUAGGCUUUGAUGAAGUUUUUGAGUAAGUUUGCUGUCCAAAAAUUGACUUUGCUCUUGAAAUGAAACCCAUCAGCUAAUAUUACAUGUUUACAACACAUGCUAUGAGGUGGGAUACUGAUUAGCCAAGCUAAUUUAGGAACAGAACAAAUGUGAGAAGCAGCAGUGAUAUUAGUUCAAUCAGAUAUUUGAUUGCGCUUCCAGAAAUAAUUUAAUUGCAGAGCUCAAAACUAUGCUUUGCCCAUUAGAGUUCUACCUGAUUGGUAUUUGGUUAAAUCUUGAUACUAAAGAAACUUCCAAGUCCAUAUUUAAUGUGAGAGCACACACAGUAAUAUUGGCUUUUUGCUUACUAUUUAGAUUUAUUACAUCUCAAUCAAUAUAAAUUGCUAGUCUUACUUAACAAAUCAUAGUUGCACUCAUGUUCUAAACAGACUUUUGUGUCUGCCCGUUUGAGCCCAACUGCAAUUUAUUACUGCAUGUUGUUAGUCCUGUUUGACAUUGUAAGCACUUUUCCAGCAUACAGGAUUCAGGCCCUGGCUCUAUGAGAUUUGCUUUUUAUUUAAAGCCAAGAAAUUGGUAAAUAAAUUCUAAUACUGCCUGCAACUUCCCAAUCUUAUGGAUCACAAUUCUCUACUCUUGGUUACUGGAACACAUUACUAUUUAUGGAAGAUAUGCACGUAUUUCAAUGUCCAUAAAUCAUAUGCAAACAUCUGUUCUUUAGAUCAGUAGAUGGAGUAUGGUAACUGGUUCUUACAUUAAUAGCCAUGAAGUAAUGAUCACCUAUUGAUGUUAUACUUUAAUAUUUUAGCAAAUAUUUCAGUAAUUUAACUUUUCAGGCAAUAUUAAUCAAAACAGUAGAAAUUGCAAGCAUAGUCUGGCAUAGAGUUCUGUGUAGCCUGUACCUGAAAAAUGCCAAGUGAAAGUUGUAAGAUAGCGGGUAAAUAUUCACAGCAACAUGAUCAACCUGGCUAAAACACAAGAAGCUCUGUUAGUAAUUCUCUCUGCACUCAUUGCUGCCUUUGAAGAGAAUUUCUUUCCCUCCCCCUUCCUGUGAUAGUUUUAAGCAGGCACCCUUUUCUCAUUUGAUGAAUCUGGACUGUGUGUAGUGGUCUACAUUGUUGUCUUAGUAGUAUGAUCUAUUUCCCACGUGACCCUGCAGGCAAGGUUCUAAGGCCAAUAACUGCAAAGCUGUGCUCUGGAAACAUGUGGUGUGUGUGGAAACCAGGGCUGUGUAUGAGGCAAAAUGUAAGAGGUGGGAAAGACAAUAUUGUAGGAUAGGAUGGGCACAGCAUGGAAAGGCAGAGGAUAAGAGUUUUCUUAUUCUGUCUUCAAUCUCAGUGUUUGGAUUUUUGGAUCAAGUGAUUUCAGUUGUAAUGAGAAGAAUCUUCAGCAACUAUCCUGUCUAGCAUUUAUGUCAAGCCUUUAUUUGGUUGUCAUAUAUACUGUGGAUACAUUGGUUGUUUUUCAGCAUCUCCUUUGUGUUUGUGCUCUUUUUCAGGAGCAGAGACUUGAUACUUUGAGACUAGCAAUAUAAAUGUCAGCAUAGUUGAAUUUUCAUAGGAAGAACAUAUGUGUAAAAAUGGAGAGCAAAAACAUUCUAUAUUUUUAAAAGUUGAGUCCUACUGUAGUCAGCCAUAGGACAGGAGACUGUAGUUCUUUUUCUGCAGAAAAUGGGCUUGCUUUUAAGUUGCCUACUAAUCUUGGUAUAAAACCUCCCAAACUGCUUCAGAAUGAAUUCAGAACCCCCUUUUAGGAUUUCUGGAGUACUUCAGUACCAUUUACAUGUUGUCCUUUAUGUUCUUCACAGUGAACGUGUUAAAUAGAUACAUAUAGAAAAACAUGCUUGUGGGCUUUCAAAACCUUUUGUUUAACUUUUGCUCCUGAUUUUUAAAUAAUUUUCUAUAAAAGGUGCUGUGAGUGUAGGUUUGCCUAAGAGAUCCUCCAUGUGUCCAUCUUGCUGCCAGCGCAGAGUGCGAUAGCAAUUGGCUUUAAUAUCCCAUCCCCCUCUUCAUUCUGUGUUGCCAUAGGAAUGGUCUGCGAGAAUUACCAAAUUCAAAUAAUUAUAGUCCUGCUGCACAAAGUUUCUUUUGAUCAAGAGCAAGUCAUUUGAACCCUGAUGUUUAGUGGGGAAUACUUACAGCCUCAUAAAAGUGUAGUGAUGGCUGAUAUCUCAUAGUGCUUUGAACAUGUGAAGUGCUAUAUAAACAAUAUAGGGCUAUUGCACACAACUCAAGCUAUUAGCAUUUCAGGCACAGUGCCCCAGGCCCUUGGAGGGGAAGUCACGUCUUCACUGGAAAGGAGGCACCUUUUUGAGUUUUGUCUGCUUCCAGAUUAGGUAUCAGGAGCUCUCGAGGUAGUGUAGAGAUAUGAAAGGCUUGUUUUUUCAAAUACUGUGUCUACUACUCUGCACUGGAUUCUAACAAUUAGAACUGUUAUUCUAAAAAUGUGUGGAUGGUAAAUCAUUGCCUGGUUGCAUUACUUCCUUUGCUGUAAUUGUAUUUUGGCAUUUCUGCAUUUUUUUUCCUUUGUGAAAAUUCUGUAUGCUAAUCUAUUUCUUACUAACAACCUCGGUAUUCUUCAUGUGUAAUUUGAAACAGAUGAGAAAUUAGGCUUCAUCUCUGUUCCCAAAAGCAUCACCUUACUUGCAGAAUUUAGAGCACAAAUGCAAUUUGAGAGUGUGUAGAGCACCCCAUGAGUGUUGGUGUGUACAUGUUGGUGAAGCCUUGUUCUUAAGGUAGCAAAUCAAUGUAAGAAAAUAGGCCAGGGGUAUUUGCCACACAGCUGAUAUUAGAGCCUGUUAGAGCUGAAGGUACUGCUCAGAUGGGAACAGUUUGCCCAGGAUUGAUGGAAUUGCCUGAUUUGCCUUGUUUUGACUCUUAUCCACAUUUUGCACACCCUGAUAAACAAGGGCUCCUGCUUAGGACCCACAAGAGGCACCUCUCCUUGCAAUCACUGCAACACAAACUCUGUGGCAGUAGAAAGGCUCAUGACUAUCUUCAGGGAGAAGAGGAAAUUCCUUGAAGUCUUUUUAUGCCAGUCAUUUCUCCAGUUUAAAAACAAAGCAAUUCUUGGUCCAGAGUUGGCAAAACAUUCUUUUUGCUUUUUGAUGGUGUAACUUCUUUUCACCAGUAGAGACUAUUCUAAAGGAUUGCAUUUUUCUGCUUGCUUGUUGUGUGGCUUUUUUAAUGUCUCAGGCUAAGCUCUUAGGCAUGUUAAAUGAUGUAAACAAGUUUUGGAUUUUUGUUACUGUUAUCUAGGAGCAGCCAUUCAAAACAAAUAUGCUAUUGACUCAACUCUAAAAAGCUCUGAACACAGAAUAAGCUCAGACUUUGAAGGACUGGGCACACAGUUUAAAUAUUUAGCAUAGCAAAACCCAUUGCAGUACAAUUGCUUGUACAGGAUCCAAUGAUUUACAGCACAAAUGUGAAGCAUAAUCCCAUGUAUUCAGGGAGCAAAUGCCUAGUCAAUUUACUGUUUUCUGGUGGAUUUUUUUAAUCAAGACUGACACACACAAACAAAAUACCUUUUACUGCUCUGACAGAGGCUUUUUAAAGUAAUGCAUAUUCUUCUAAAGAAAUAAAUAGAUACAAAUUACCAGAACUGUUCUAAGGCCUUAUCUUUAUUAUUGAAAAUGGCCUAGCCUUUAAUGGUUUGUAAUCUGCCUGUGUUUUUGUGGCUUUCUCAACAUCCUCCUCCUUGUCCUUGUUGAGCUCAGCUACCCUUUGAAAAGCUUUUUGCUCUAGUGACCACUUUAAACUUUCUAUUGACAAAAUAAAGCUGGACUCCUAAUUUGUUUUUCCAACAGAAGGUGUGAGUUGAAAGUGGUCAUUGGCCCAAAAACCUAUCGUGAAGACAAAGUUGAUUUUAGUGGGAAAGGGGGAGUGAUGUCUGGUUUCCUUUUCUCUGUCCUUCAAUUCCCACCUCCCAGAGUCCCAACCUCACAGCAGCAAGGUUUCUCUUUUUUCCAGACUUUUGCUACAGCAAGGAAAGGUAGGCCAGGAAAUUGUAUUUGAGUCCUCAACUCAAAUUGGUUUGUGAAUCCAAAUUCAGUCUUUUAAAACUGUGGGAAGACUGACUGGGGCAUUGGCAAUGAAAUAAAUGAGUGAACAGGAUGAGGAAAAGCAUGUACAGCCAAAUAAGUUAAUAAAUUAAACAAUUCUCUUUGCUUCAUAUGCACUUGUGCUUAAAAAUACAUGCAAGCAUACCUGCAGACAUUUUAAUGUGAAAAAAGAAAGGGAAAUAUCUCUUUGUUUUGGAGAUUUAAACAGAUCAGUACAACUGUAGCACCCAGAAACUUCAAACAUUAUCAAAAUGGGCUUUUCAACCACAGGGUCUUGCUUUUCUGCAGGACCCAACACAUUUAAAUAAAAAUUCUGAAAUUAAUUAGUAGGUUCAGGAGUAAGUGGAUGUCAUUUUACACAGUCAGGACUUUCUGUAAAAGUCUCAAGAGAUCCCCUAUCACCAUUGUGGUAACCACUCCUAAUCACAAAUCCUGAUCUGAACAAUCAUAGGUGGUACUGGCUAUUCUGAGAAGUUUUGUUUCUGCAUCAAUACCUCCCUGGAUUUAUAAACCAUUCUUGUGUCAGUGCCUGCCUCUUUUCUUGCUGAAGGUAAUCAGGGAGCUUGAGGCUCACAGAUUACAUUUUCUGUGCUGUUCAAAGGUGUUCUAUUUGUAUUUUUAUUUAGAAAUAUCUGGAUGAAAUUCCAUUUGGAGGGAAGUUCUAUCCCUUAAGCCCUAUACACUGAACACCUAAAGCAGAGACAUUGUGCUGGCUCUUAGCAGAUAGGGUGGAUUUCAUUCUUACUGAAUACGACCCAGGUGCUAAAAAGCUAUAGCUGAGAGUGCUGGGUUAAAAGCACGAGGCAGCUAGGUGCAUAAAUAUUACAUGGCUGUAUCUUUAAUGGGUUCCUGUCAUAGACUUGCUUUUGUUUAAAGAUUUCCAUAACCCUGCUGAUUUAUUGCAUCUUUUCUACAAGUAUGCUGUUAGCAGGAAACUCAGCUGAAGCACUUUCAAUCAUGUUGGAGGAUCAUUAUACUUUCACUUGAAUAACUAAUUAGUUGCAAGAAAUUAACCACUGCUGUUUAGCACAAAAACACUUUCAAGAAGGGCUUUCAUUUUUGUUGUGGAAAAUGACCUCAGGCACUUGAGGAGGUGGGGCAGAAAGGAGAAAUAAUGAUCCUGCUGUCUUUUAAUAUAACUUUUGUUUUCAAUUCCACCCAAUAACUAGCAGGCAGCAUAGCUGUCUGAAUAAGGAACUGCACUUGGACUUUGGAUAAAUGUGUUCUGAUCUUUCUGAUCCCAUGGAUCUGGCAGCUGACCUGAACCUAUUGAUUGACACUGGUUUCAGGUUCUAAAAGCUGUCACUGAAGGCUUGGGAGAUGGAGUACAAGACUGAGGAAGAAAUAAAUUAGUGAAUAGGAUGGAAGGAAGAAUAGAAUAUGGGCAAAGAAAGGUCUAAGUUGAUAUUGCUCCUUCUGCUGAAAUGACAGCUCCUGGGUGAGGUGUGACACUGCACAACCAAGAAAUCUGCAUGCAGGAUGUGUUUUCUCCAGCUCCACAGCUUUCCAGGAAGAGGUUUAGCAGAAGUUGAGUCAUGGAAAGCUGAAUGGAUCAACAGAAAUUGAAGUGUGGGGAAGAUGUUGAUGCAUAAUAACCCUACUCUUCUAUGCUCCUGCUAAUUCCAGACUUACCUGCUGCUUAUCACAUGGUGGGACUAUUCUCACUAUUAUUUUCCUUAAUGCUGUUCGUGUUCAAAGUUAGAUUAGCACUGUGCAUCCCAUUUAUCACAAACUCUGUAUGGAAAAGCCAUAUGGUGAUCAAGGCUGGGAAUUAUGCCCCAAGUUUCACACUAAAUGCACUUAUAUGGUCUUAUGGCUACUUACACUUG